GUCUACAUCACAGGCUUCUGUUGCAAGUGCAUCAGUUACUGGAAGAGGGGCACCCUUUAAGAGGCCAAGAGUUGUGGGAAUAGGAGUGCUUCAGACCCAAAGUGGUUUCAAAAUUGUCAAUCCUGGAAUGGCAAAUCAGUCUUCAACCAUGCUUAUGAAUUCAGCAGUAGUCACUGGUAGUCUUGGACAUCACAAACUAAGACUAGGAGGACUAAAAUGGAAAAGUAGUCCAGCUAUAACACAAAAAGGUCUUCAACAAAUGAGUGGACAAAGGAGAAUGAGAACAAGGGCCAAAGUCGAGUUAAACUCUUUAAGUCAAACAAGUUCAUCAGCUACCCAAAAAUGAAAUGGAAAAAUGAAGUUGAAUUAGUUUAGUCCUGUAUGUGUAUGUCUUUGGUACUGACUGUUAUGCAGCAGUGACUGCAGAUUUUAAUGUUAUUUUUGUGAAACAAUUAUGGUAGAUGAUGUACAUU